rnacentral:rRNA from 1 species
UACGAAGGGGGCGAGCGUUGUUCGGAAUCACUGGGCGUAAAGGGCGCGUAGGCGGCCCUCCUAGUCGCGUGUGAAAGCCCCGGGCUCAACCUCGAGACGCCGGUGGAAACCGUAAAGCUAGAGUCCGGAAGAGGAGAGUGGAAUUCCUGGUGUAGCGGUGAAAUGCGCAGAUAUCAGGAGGAACACCCGUGGCGAAAGCGGCUCUCUGGGACGGUACUGACGCUGAGACGCGAAAGCGUGGGGAGCAAACAGG